CAGAUGAAUUCUAGGCGAAAUAAUUUUUUACAAUAAUUACUAUAAACUGUUCGAUUCAGUUUUGUCUGA
rnacentral:tRNA from 1 species